UACGAAGGGGGCUAGCGUUGCUCGGAAUCACUGGGCGUAAAGCGCGCGUAGGCGGAUGUUUAAGUCGGGGGUGAAAGCCCGGGGCUCAACCUCGGAAUUGCCUUCGAUACUGGACAUCUUGAGUACGGGAGAGGUGAGUGGAACUCCGAGUGUAGAGGUGAAAUUCGUAGAUAUUCGGAAGAACACCAGUGGCGAAGGCGACUCACUGGCCCGUUACUGACGCUGAGGCGCGAAAGCGUGGGGAGCAAACAGG
rnacentral:rRNA from 1 species